rnacentral:rRNA from 1 species
AACGAACGCUGGCGGCAUGCCUAACACAUGCAAGUCGAACGAGACCUUCGGGUCUAGUGGCGCACGGGUGCGUAACGCGUGGGAACCUGCCCUUAGGUUCGGAAUAACUCCCCGAAAGGGGUGCUAAUACCGGAUAAUGUCUUCGGACCAAAGAUUUAUCGCCUUUGGAUGGGCCCGCGUUGGAUUAGCUAGUUGGUAGAGUAAAAGCCUACCAAGGCGACGAUCCAUAGCUGGUCUGAGAGGAUGAUCAGCAACACUGGGACUGAGACACGGCCCAGACUCCUACGGGAGGCAGCAGUGGGGAAUAUUGGACAAUGGGCGAAAGCCUGAUCCAGCAAUGCCGCGUGAGUGAUGAAGGCCUUAGGGUUGUAAAGCUCUUUUACCCGGGAUGAUAAUGACAGUACCGGGAGAAUAAGCUCCGGCUAACUCCGUG